UACGAAGGGGGCUAGCGUUGUUCGGAAUCUCUGGGCGUAAAGGGCGCGUGGGCGGCUUUAUAAGUCGGGGGUGAAAGCCUGUGGCUCAACCACAGAAUUGCCUUCGAUACUGUAGAGCUUGAGACCGGAAGAGGUUAGUGGAACUGCGAGUGUAGAGGUGAAAUUCGUAGAUAUUCGGAAGAACACCAGUGGCGAAGGCGACUCGCUGGACAAGUAUUGACGCUGAGGUGCGAAAGCGUGGGGAGCAAACAGG
rnacentral:rRNA from 1 species